ensembl:lncRNA
GAGACGUUGCGUUGGGGUCGGGUCCCGCAGCUAGACGGGCGGCGAUUAAGCUUUACCUGGAGCCGCGCCCUGAGUGACCACAGCGGUGGGCUCAGCCGAUACGUGCUGCCGAAGCCUAGAGGGUCUGCAACAGCGCUGACGCACUUUGUGGGUUCCUGCAAGGUGGACGCGACCAGCAGUUAUCGAUGAACAGUCCAGAGCAGAGGAGGAAAUACCGUCUGCAGAAAGUGCUGGCACCGAUCCUGCGAGAAGUUGAAGAGGAAUUUAAUAUCAAGUUUUUAUACGAAACUGCACAAGAAGUAGCUGAAACGCUUCUCCCAGUUUUACAGAGAGACUUUUUACGCCAUUGCCAGACUGCUUGCUUAGCUUGCUUUGCACAUAAUCACCAAGCGUGGGUAAAAAUUUAUUGUGGGAACUGUAAUAGUAACUGGUGGGUUUUCCAACGGGUUCUUAGCAACGGACUUUGGUGCCUUAAUUGUAAUUUUGCCUGGCAUAGAGAAACGCCGCAGCAAGCACUAACUGCGUUAACAGGAGAUACUAUAAGGAACAGUAUAGCCAGAAUAGAAAACAGGGAGGAUCUAGAGCUUAGAAAAUUGGCGUGGCAGGUACGCCACAUAGUCAAAAAGAUAUUAGGAGACAGACGCUCAUGCAUUUUAGACUCUUGUUGUGGUCAUGAAGUUCGUAUACCAACUCAGUGGCAGGUGCCACCCAAUCAAUGGGAUUAUACUUGUCGUAGGUUUACUAAAAUUAAUAACCGUCGCAAGAACUACUACGGUAAAACAUCCCAACAUUAACUCCUUAUUUCCUAGGCAGAACGUAUGGAUCUCAUUAGCAAGACAGCUAAAUAGAACAGACUUUUGUGUGCCCUUAGCCCAGCCUAAAUCCCCCUUCCAUACCUGCCUUAUUGGCGUACCACUUAAUGAGACAGAGUACUCUUAUUUAGUCAUGACCUGAACGGCCAGACACUGUAAAAACAAUAUUAGCUCCUGCCUUGAAGAAUAUGACUCGUGGGAUGAUAGAUUACCUUAUAGUGGCAAGCCCGACGAGCUAGAGAUAUUGGGCUCGCUCCAUGCUGCCUCAUGCAUGUAUAUUAACUCCAGCAAAUAUGAUUGCAAUGAAGGCAACGGUGCUUGGUGUAAUAUAACACUCUCAACGAAUAUUACCCCGCAACAGGAAAAUUGGCAAAAUCACUCCUUUUGGUGUCACUCUAUAGCUCGAAAAGAAACAGACCCAGCCCCAGGUACAACAAUUCCUCGCCGAUUGCCACCCGGAAUCUUUUUAAUCUGUGGGGACAGAGCAUUCAGCGGCAUUCCUCAACGGCCCACCAGAGGCCCUUGUACGUUUGGGCGUCUCACAAUAGCACUCCCUAGCCAGAGCGCUCUGCUAGGCCUAUAUAGCAAUACCAGCCAGGUAACCACCACACGACGAAAGCGCUCAACCAUUGAUGCUUCCUGUGAUGAUAAUGUCAAUUUGUUUAAUCGCGCGGAGCAAGUGGUUGCCUCUCUUUUUAUGCCCGGCCUUGCUGCAGGACAUGCUCUUUUUCAGUUAGAAAAGUUACAAUGUUGGGUAGGCAAGCAAGCUAAUGCUACGUCUGAGCUAUUAAGUUUACUGGCCACAGACAUAGAUACCGUAAGACAUGCAACAUUGCAAAAUCGGGCAGCUAUUGACUUUUUAUUAUUGGCUCAUGGGCAUGGGUGUGAAGAUUUCGAAGGAAUGUGCUGUAUGAAUUUGAAAAAUAGUUCCGAAUCUAUUCACAAGAAAAUUCAGCGUUUGCAGCAACAUGUUCAGGUGUUACAGAGGGAUGAUACGUUUUUUUGGAUUAUCAUUUGAAUCAUGGAAAA